CCUACGGGGGGCUGCAGUGGGGAAUAUUGCACAAUGGGCGCAAGCCUGAUGCAGCCAUGCCGCGUGUGUGAAGAAGGCCUUCGGGUUGUAAAGCACUUUCAGCGGGGAAGAGGGCGUUAAGGUUAAUAACCUUGUCGAUUGACGUUACCCGCAGAAGAAGCACCGGCUAACUCCGUGCCAGCAGCCGCGGUAAUACGGAGGGUGCAAGCGUUAAUCGGAAUUACUGGGCGUAAAGCGCACGCAGGCGGUCUGUCAAGUCGGAUGUGAAAUCCCCGGGCUCAACCUGGGAACUGCAUUCGAAACUGGCAGGCUAGAGUCUUGUAGAGGGGGGUAGAAUUCCAGGUGUAGCGGUGAAAUGCGUAGAGAUCUGGAGGAAUACCGGUGGCGAAGGCGGCCCCCUGGACAAAGACUGACGCUCAGGUGCGAAAGCGUGGGGAGCAAACAGGAUUAGAUACCCGAGUAGUC
rnacentral:rRNA from 1 species